CAGGUGCUGUCUUCUUCUUCCAG
rnacentral:miRNA from 1 species